AUUGAACGCUGGCGGCAGGCUUAACACAUGCAAGUCGAGCGGGGAAAGGUAGCUUGCUACCUGACCUAGCGGCGGUCGGGUGAGUAAUGCUUAGGAAUCUGCCUAUUAGUGGGGGACAACAUCUCGAAAGGGAUGCUAAUACCGCAUACGUCCUACGGGAGAAAGCAGGGGACCUUCGGGCCUUGCGCUAAUAGAUGAGCCUAAGUCGGAUUAGCUAGUUGGUGGGGUAAAGGCCUACCAAGGCGACGAUCUGUAGCGGGUCUGAGAGGAUGAUCCGCCACACUGGGACUGAGACACGGCCCAGACUCCUACGGGAGGCAGCAGUGGGGAAUAUUGGACAAUGGGGGGAACCCUGAUCCAGCCAUGCCGCGUGUGUGAAGAAGGCCUUUUGGUUGUAAAGCACUUUAAGCGAGGAGGAGGCUACCGAGAUUAAUACUCUUGGAUAGUGGACGUUACUCGCAGAAUAAGCACCGGCUAACUCUGUG
rnacentral:rRNA from 1 species